CAACCAAAGAUUUAUCGCUCUGGGAUGGGCUCAUGUCUGAUUAGAUAGUUGGCGGGGUAACGGCCCACCAAGUCUGCGAUCAGUAGCCGGACUGAGAGGUUGAACGGCCACAUUGGGACUGAGAUACGGCCCAGACUCCUACGGGAGGCAGCAGUGGGGAAUAUUGGGCAAUGGGCGCAAGCCUGACCCAGCAACGCCGCGUGAAGGAAGAAGGCUUUCGGGUUGUAAACUUCUUUUAUCAGGGACGAAGAAAGUGACGGUACCUGAUGAAUAAGCCACGGCUAACUACGUGCCAGCAGCCGCGGUAAUACGUAGGUGGCGAGCGUUGUCCGGAUUUACUGGGUGUAAAGGGCGCGUAGGCGGGAAGGCAAGUCAGGUGUGAAAUCUAUGGGCUCAACCCAUAAACUGCACUUGAAACUGUUUUUCUUGAGUGUCGGAGAGGUAGAUGGAAUUCCUAGUGUAGCGGUGAAAUGCGUAGAUAUUAGGAGGAACACCAGUGGCGAAGGCGAUCUACUGGACGAUAACUGACGCUGAGGCGCGAAAGCGUGGGGAGCAAACAGGAUUAGAUACCCUGGUAGUC
rnacentral:rRNA from 1 species